CGUGUAGGUGGUUCGACGGGUCUGGUAUUAAAUCCCCCGGCCUAACCGGGGAAGUGUGCCAGAAACUAUCAAACUCGAGUCUGAAAAAGGAGAGCGGAACUCCUGGUGUAACGGUGAAAUGUGUAGAUAUCAGGAGGAACACCGGUGGCGAAGGCGGCUCUCUAGUUCAAGACUGACACUGAGGCGCGAAAGCCGGGGGAGCAAACAGGAUUAGAUACCCUGGUAGUCCCGGCCCUAAACGAUGGGUGUUAGGUAUCGGUCUUUCGGGAUCGGUGUCGUAGCUAACGCGUUAAACACCCCACCUGGGAAGUACGGUCGCAAGGCUGAA
rnacentral:rRNA from 1 species